rnacentral:rRNA from 1 species
UACGUAGGGUGCGAGCGUUGUCCGGAAUUAUUGGGCGUAAAGGGCUCGUAGGCGGCUUGUCACGUCGGAUGUGAAAGCCCGGGGCUUAACUCCGGGUCUGCAUUCGAUACGGGCUAGCUAGAGUGUGGUAGGGGGAGAUCGGAAUUCCUGGUGUAGCGGUGAAAUGCGCAGAUAUCAGGAGGAACACCGGUGGCGAAGGCGGAUCUCUGGGCCAUUACUGACGCUGAGGAGCGAAAGCGUGGGGAGCGAACAGG